AUUGAACGCUGGCGGCAUGCUUUACACAUGCAAGUCGAACGGUAACAGGCCGCAAGGUGCUGACGAGUGGCGAACGGGUGAGUAAUGCAUCGGAACGUGCCCAGUCGUGGGGGAUAACUACUCGAAAGAGUAGCUAAUACCGCAUACGAUCUAUGGAUGAAAGCGGGGGACCGUAAGGCCUCGCGCGAUUGGAGCGGCCGAUGUCAGAUUAGGUAGUUGGUGGGGUAAAGGCUCACCAAGCCAACGAUCUGUAGCUGGUCUGAGAGGACGACCAGCCACACUGGGACUGAGACACGGCCCAGACUCCUACGGGAGGCAGCAGUGGGGAAUUUUGGCAAUGGGCGCAAGCCUGAUCCAGCAAUGCCGCGUGCAGGAAGAAGGCCUUCGGGUUGUAAACUGCUUUUGUACGGAACGAAACGGCUCUGGUUAAUACCCGGGGCUAAUGACGGUACCGUAAGAAUAAGCACCGGCUAACUACGUG
rnacentral:rRNA from 1 species